AGAGUUUGAUCCUGGCUCAGAACGUACGCUGGCGGCACGCCUAACACAUGCAAGUCGAACGAAGUAGCAAUACUUAGUGGCAGACGGGUGAGUAACAUGUGGGUAUCUACCCUUUGGCCUGGAAUAACACGAGGAAACUUGUGCUAAUACCGGAUAAGUCUUUACGGAGAAAGCUUUAUGCACCAUUGGAUGAGCCCGCACUUGAUUAGUUUGUUGGUAGGGUAAUGGCCUACCAAGACUAUGAUCAAUAGCUGAUUUGAGAGGAUGAUCAGCCACAUUGGGACUGAGACACGGCCCAAACUCCUACGGGAGGCAGCAGUGGGGAAUCUUGCACAAUGGAGGAAACUCUGAUGCAGCGAUGCCGCGUGAGUGAAGAAGGCCUUUGGGUUGUAAAGCUCUUUCGUCGGGGAAGAAAAUGACUGUACCCGAAUAAGAAGGUCCGGCUAACUCCGUGCCAGCAGCCGCGGUAAUACGAAGGGACCUAGCGUAGUUCGGAAUUACUGGGCUUAAAGAGUUCGUAGGUGGUUGAAAAAGUUGGUGGUGAAAUCCCAGAGCUUAACUCUGGAACUGCCAUCAAAACUUUUCAGCUAGAGUAUGAUAGAGGAAAGCAGAAUUUCUAGUGUAGAGGUGAAAUUCGUAGAUAUUAGAAAGAAUACCAAUUGCGAAGGCAGCUUUCUGGAUCAUUACUGACACUGAGGAACGAAAGCAUGGGUAGCGAAGAGGAUUAGAUACCCUCGUAGUCCAUGCCGUAAACGAUGUGUGUUAGACGUUGGAAAUUUAUUUUCAGUGUCGCAGGAAACCGAUAAACACACCACCUGGGGAGUACGACCGCAAGGUUAAAACUCAAU
rnacentral:rRNA from 1 species